UACGUAGGGUGCGAGCGUUAAUCGGAAUUACUGGGCGUAAAGCGUGCGCAGGCGGUUUUGUAAGCCGGAUGUGAAAUCCCCGGGCUUAACCUGGGAAUGGCAUUCGGGACUGCAAGGCUGGAGUGCGGCAGAGGAGACUGGAAUUCCUGGUGUAGCAGUGAAAUGCGUAGAUAUCAGGAGGAACACCGAUGGCGAAGGCAGGUCUCUGGGACGGUACUGACGCUAAGGCGCGAAAGCGUGGGGAGCGAACAGG
rnacentral:rRNA from 1 species